UAAAAAUUAAAUUAUGAAACAAUUAUUAUUUUUUUUCACUUUGCCUUCAAAUGAUUAAUCAGCAAAGCGAAUAUACGUGUCUGGGCACACUGCAAGCACGUGGGGAACAUAACCUCUACGCCAGGUAAGUAUUGGAGCAAAACUGUAACAAGUUACAUAUUUCGACGUGGCGAUUUCCCCCUUGUAAAGGCGGGUGGCCAAAUAAUUCCCCUCUACCCAAGGGUAGAGCGGUAACUUAAAACCUCAAAAAAAAAAAAAUGGAUAAUCAGCACACUCCAUUGUCGUUUCCCUCUCACUUACAGCGAGAACCCUUUCACUCGCACUAGUCC
rnacentral:lncRNA from 1 species